rnacentral:rRNA from 1 species
CUACGGGGGCUGCAGUGGGGAAUAUUGGACAAUGGGCGAAAGCCUGAUCCAGCCAUGCCGCGUGUGUGAAGAAGGCCUUCGGGUUGUAAAGCACUUUCAGUGGGGAAGAAAGCCUUGGGGCUAAUACCCUCGAGGAAGGACAUCACCCACAGAAGAAGCACCGGCUAACUCCGUGCCAGCAGCCGCGGUAAUACGGAGGGUGCGAGCGUUAAUCGGAAUUACUGGGCGUAAAGCGCGCGUAGGCGGUCUGAUAAGCCGGUUGUGAAAGCCCCGGGCUCAACCUGGGAACGGCAUCCGGAACUGUCAGGCUAGAGUGCAGGAGAGGAAGGUAGAAUUCCCGGUGUAGCGGUGAAAUGCGUAGAGAUCGGGAGGAAUACCAGUGGCGAAGGCGGCCUUCUGGACUGACACUGACGCUGAGGUGCGAAAGCGUGGGUAGCAAACAGGAUUAGAUACCCCUGUAGUC